CCCCGCGGCAAAGUUGCCCACGGAGAGGCUCUGCUGCACGAUCUCGCGCACCUCCUUGUCGGACAGCAGGUAGGGAGAGCGCACUGGGAAGCUCGGUGAAGGACCACCACCUCAUCCAAGGGGAUCUUGCAGAAGUCCUUGCUGCUCCUCUCAGGGGCAGCGGGGGACCCUCAAACUCCUCCCUGAACCUCUCAGGAUUGAUUGCAUAGCUCCUCAUGUUUCUACACUCGGGGCCAGCACGUGGACCUUGCACUGCUGCUGGUAGGAGCGCCUCUGUUCGUGUUCCAGUGCAGGUUGCCCAUGAACUCCAGGGUCCAGACGCGAUUGUUUUUGGUGCAGAGGUAGAGCAGGUGCACUUAGUGGCGAAUGAGCUUGAUGCAGGACGGGUCCAGCUGCUUCUUGCCCAGGGAGUCGCUGCAGCUGUACUGCUUGUGCAGGUUGUCAUGGGUGAAGAGCUUGGGGAACAGGGGCACCAGCAGGCGCGAGGUGAAGUUGCCGAUGGACAGGCUGCUCUCCUAGAUACUGCGAAGAUGCUCGUUGCUGAGCAGGCAGUCGGCGCCGGGCAACUCCAAGUUGGGCUGGGGAUCUCCAAUUUGUCCAAGUCGAUAGGUACCAGUCAGAUCUUCUUGGAGCGGCACCGCUCGCCCUUGAAGCUGUCCUCCACCCUGAUUACUGAGAUGUCAUCGGGCAGGCUGGAGGAGUUGUAGCAGUUGUUGCGUGGGGGGCUUGCCUUCGCUGCCCGCGUCCAGCCCCAGGCCCUGGAGCUUGUCGUUGAUGCACUGGGCGCACCGCUGCAGCCAGGCCUCCUCCUCCUGCAUGUGGGGGAAGUAGACCUCCGUGUAGUUGCUGAUGAUCUGCAGCCUCUGCGGGUCCAGCUCCUGCUUGCCGCCGUCCCCGUAGCAGCUGUCCUGCUCACCCAGCUUGCUGUAGUGGAAGAGCUCAGGGAAGAGCCAGUGGAGGAGGAAGACGGCAAACUCACCGGGUGAAGAGGCUUCAUCCAGGAACUAGGUGAGGGCCUACAUGUCCACCACGUGGUCUGAGGCGAUGGUGCUGCUCCUGUCCAGAGACAGGCCCUCCUCCUCAUCUUUGUGGUCCAGGAAGUGGCCGGGGUCCACUGCUCAGCCUCAAGCUGGCAGCCUGGCCACCAGGCUGGCUGUUCUCCAUCUCCCGCUGGGCCCAGAAGCGGCUGAAGAACUUACUCAGCUGGGGCAAGCACUCGGCCUGUCACACAGCCCUCUCCUUCACCGAGGGGUAGUAGACCUCCAUGUAGUUGUGGAUGAGCUGCAGGUGCAGUGACUCCAGCUUAAGCUUGGCCUCAAAGCUGCAGGCACUGCAGCCUUGGGAGAAGUUGACUGUGGCUGAAGAGCUUGGGGAAGAGCUGCACCAGCAGCCAGCAGGCCAGGACCCCACCUGACAGGCUCUGGUCCAAGAUCUGCUUGAGCUCCAUGCCCGUGAGCUGCUAUGGGGUGGUGGGGGUCGGCUGGAAUUUGGCCACCAUCUCAGUGGGGUUCACCUUCAGGGAGAGCAGGUCCACUUUGCUGUGCAGCUGGGACCUGUUGGACGUGAGCGUGUUGAGCAUGUAGAACAUCUCCUGGAUCAGGAAGUAGAUGUUAGGGUCACUGUUGGUGGCUGCCCCAGUGCUGCCACAGUCCCAUUUCUAUGGCUCAUUCAGGAGCCUAAGCAGCAAGGGGCUGUUGCUGGCAUUUGCCUUCUGGAAGAGCUCAUAUGUGUUUAGCAGGUCCCCUGAGGGAGGGUUCUUCUUCUCCAUGACCUUGUGCAAGAUGCCAUACAGAGGCUUCUUGUAGUAAGGGGUGGUGGCAUGGUUGCGGGGCUCCUCCUUGCCUGCCCACACAGAGCCUGAGCUCCUGCCUUGCCAGCCUGCUCUCCAUUGCCUUGGCAGGGCGAGCUGUUCUUGGGUUCCACAUGCCUGCUAGGAGCGCCUCUGGGAUCAGCUACCUCCUCUCCACACUGGGGAUGGAGUCUGGCUGGCCAUUGCUGACCAGCUGAGUCCUUGAGGGCAGUAAAGACGCUGUCCAGAGGGUGCUUCUCAGAAGUCCUGGAAUUCACGGAGCAGCCUAGAGCAGCAUCUUUGGCCUCUGUCUCCACUCUCACUUCUUAGAAGUUCUUCUACAUCAAUUUUUUUUGGAGAUGGUUCUGACUCUGUCACCCAGGCUGGAGUGCAGCAGUUGAUCAGAGCUCACUGCAUCCUUGACCUCCCAGACUCAAAAGAGCCUAGCUACUUAGGAGUAGCUAGGACUACAGGCCACGGCCACCAUGCCUGGCUAAUCUUUUAAAUUUUUUGUAGAGGCAGAGGUCUCUCACUGUGUUGCCCAGACAAGUCUCAAAUUCUCGGGCUCAAGUGGUCCUCCCAAAGUGCUGGGAUUAAUGGCGUGAGACACCGUACCUGGCCAUAUUUUUUUUUUUUUUCAAAAAAUUCAUUUGUAGAGUUUAAAAAGUAUCUUUCGAUCAAGAGUUCUUAUUGUAUUUAUGUUUGCAAAUUUCAUUUCCCAUUCUGUUGCUUGCCUUUUCACUCAGUGAGUUAUUUUAUGAUUACAAAUCCCUAUUUUUUAUGUUAUUUUAUUACUAUUUAUUAACCUAUUUAUCUUAUUUACUAGCCUUCAAUAGUUACUUUUUGAGUCUUUUUUUAAAUCUUAAGGUCAUAGAAGUGUCCUCUGUAUUACUUUUUAAAAACUGUACUGUUUUAUGUUACACAUUGGCUUCUAUAUGAAAUAAUUUUUGUGUAUGUUGUGAGGUUGGAUGUUAAUAUUCAUUUUUCUCUGUACCGAUGUAUGAAAGACACCACAAUUUAUUGAAAAUGAAUCUUUUCCUCAUUGUACUGAAGCACUAUUUUUUUCACAAAUCAGCUAAAUAUAUUGUGUGGUUCUCUUUAUGAGCUCUCUAUUCUGUUUCAUUGAAAUAUCUAUACUUGCACCUUUUCCAUAAUGUCAUAAUUGAUAUACAUUUAUAAAAACUUUAUAUCUAAUAGUGUAAGUCUUCACAUUAUAUUUUUUCUUCAAAGUUAUCUAUACACUGCAUUUUCAUUUGCAUUUUAUAGUCAGUUUUUCAGUUGCCACCAAAUAUAAUGCAGACAAAUUAUGCUAUUACUAAUCACAGUAUUGUGAUUUUCAGUGUAUUACAAAUAUAGAUUUAUUUAAAAUACUGAAUCUUUCUUCUAAUACCAAGAAUGACAUAGGAACAUGGUACACCUUUAUUUCUGUUGAAUAUCUUUAAUUUCUCUCAGUAAAAUCUCACAAUUUUCAGUAAAGGGAUUGCAUAUGCUAUGUUAUAUUUUAUAUUAGGAAUUCAAUGUUUCUUCCUGGAAACAUUUCAGAUUUUUAAUAUUUUAUUUGAUUUAGACUCACUAUAUUUGGAAAGCUUUAAUUGUAAUUUUAUUUUUAAUAGAUAUAGAGCUAUUCGGAUUUGCUAUUUAUUCUUGUGUCACUGUUAAUGAUUUUCUAGAAAUGUAUCUAUUUCAUCAAAUUAUGUCAAAAUUUUUGACUUAAAGUUACUUAUUACAUUCUCUUUUUCUAUCCCAUGACUAUAGAAUCUAUAAUGAUUUCCUUGUUAUUAUUGAUGAUAUUUAGAAUUUGUGGAUACUCUUUUUUUUUUUAAUUUCACGCAUAAUCAUGGUAUAUUUUUAUCAGUCUUUUCAAAGUAACUUUGGCUUUUGCUGAUUUCAUUUAUUUUAUGAUUGUUUCCUUUUCUCAUGCUUCUUAUGUAUCUUCUCUUUUCUAAUUCUUUGGAUUUAAUUUGACAUCACAUUUUAAAUUUUUGAGAUUGACAAUUAGAUUAUUAAUUUUCAAGCUUUAAUUUUUUAAACAAGCAUAUGCAUUUAUCUCCAAGCUGAGGUUUGCCUAAGCCUCCCAUCUUUUAACAAGCAGUAUUUUUACUUUCAUUUUUAUUAAAUUCAAAAUAUAUUUUAAUAUUCAUUGUAAUUACUUUUUUGAUGCAUGAAUAACUUAGAAAUGUGAUGCUUAAUUUCUAAACAUUUGGUUACUUUCAAAGUCUUGCUAUAGAUUUGCAGCUUAAUAACAUUGUUGUACAAAAAAACACUGUCAAGGAUUUCAAAUUUUUGGUAUUUAUUGAUUCUUGUUAUGGGCCUAACCUCAGCCUAUAUCUGUCUAUCUAACCUAUCUAUCUAUCUAUCUACCUACCUAUCUAUCUAUCUAUCUAUCAUCUAUCUACCUAGAUAGACAGAGAUAUCUAUAGAUAGCUAUGGUAAAUUUUGAAACACGUUCCAAAUACAUUAUAAUAAAUUGUGUGUUUUGCUAUUUUUGGGUGCAGUUUUUAUAUCAAAGUAUUUAAUCCUACUGCUUUAAAUUUUUGUAUUAUUAUUGAUAUUUUGUAUCCUUUUUGCUAUCAGUUAUUGAAAAAGGUAUAUUAAAGUCUUUAUGAUCAAAG
rnacentral:lncRNA from 1 species